GAGUUUGAUCUUGGCUUAGAACGAACGCUGGCGGCAUGCCUAACACAUGCAAGUCGAACGAAGGCUUCGGCCUUAGUGGCGCACGGGUGCGUAACGCGUGGGAACCUGCCCCUCGGUUCGGAAUAACACAGAGAAAUUUGUGCUAAUACCGGAUGAUGACUUCGGUCCAAAGAUUUAUCGCCGAGGGAUGGGCCCGCGUAGGAUUAGCUUGUUGGUGGGGUAAUGGCCUACCAAGGCGACGAUCCUUAGCUGGUCUGAGAGGAUGAUCAGCCACACUGGGACUGAGACACGGCCUAGACUCCUACGGGAGGCAGCAGUGGGGAAUAUUGGACAAUGGGCGAAAGCCUGAUCCAGCAAUGCCGCGUGAGUGAUGAAGGCCUUAGGGUUGUAAAGCUCUUUUACCCGGGAUGAUAAUGACAGUACCGGGAGAAUAAGCUCCGGCUAACUCCGUGCCAGCAGCCGCCGUAAC
rnacentral:rRNA from 1 species